UGGGGAAUAUUGGACAAUGGGCGAAAGCCUGAUCCAGCCAUGCCGCGUGUGUGAAGAAGGUCUUCGGAUUGUAAAGCACUUUAAGUUGGGAGGAAGGGCAUUAACCUAAUACGUUAGUGUUUUGACGUUACCGACAGAAUAAGCACCGGCUAACUCUGUGCCAGCAGCCGCGGUAAUACAGAGGGUGCAAGCGUUAAUCGGAAUUACUGGGCGUAAAGCGCGCGUAGGUGGUUUGUUAAGUUGGAUGUGAAAUCCCCGGGCUCAACCUGGGAACUGCAUUCAAAACUGACUGACUAGAGUAUGGGAGAGGGUGGUGGAAUUUCCUGUGUAGCGGUGAAAUGCGUAGAUAUAGGAAGGAACACCAGUGGCGAAGGCGACCACCUGGACUAAUACUGACACUGAGGUGCGAAAGCGUGGGGAGCAAACA
rnacentral:rRNA from 1 species